rnacentral:tRNA from 1 species
GGGUUUGGCUCAGUGGUAGAGCCCUUGCCUGGCCUGUACCAGGCCCUGGGUUCAAUCCCCAGAACCACA